CUUCCCUUGAACGCGUCUAUCCCACCUUUAAUCCCGCAUUCAUCCUCUCCGACACCGGCGUGCCCCUCUCCCCGCCGUUGGUAGCAGUUUAGCGGCGCGGCUCUUCCGUCAAGAUCCACGACACGGCAGCGCAACCUACUCCGGUGUGCAAAGUGGCGGCACGACCACCUCUUGCGCAAUUUCUCUGACGCGUGCAAACUCCCCUUGGCAAUCUCUCUCUCUUGCGAAUCUGUCCUUCUGGUGACCUGCACUUAGAGCUAACGCAGCUUCCAACCUCGUCAGGCUGCGGCAGAACUUUGGAUCAGUAGAAUCUUAGUUCGUGAAAGGAUUAAGGUUCGAUGAUUUACACGGCCAUCGACACAUUUUAUCUAAGUGAUGAGCAGUUGAAGGACUCACCUUCGAGAAAGGAUGGGAUUGAUGAAGUCACUGAAACCACCCUGAGAAUCUACGGUUGUGAUCUCAUCCAGGAAGCUGGCAUAUUGCUUAAAUUGCCUCAGGCAGUCAUGGCUACUGGACAAGUUCUGUUCCAUCGAUUCUAUUGCAAGAAAUCAUUUGCCCGCUUCCAUGUCAAGAAAGUUGCUUCUAGUUGUGUGUGGCUUGCUUCAAAGUUGGAGGAAAACCCUAGGAAAGCCAGACAAGUAAUUAUUGUUUUUCACAGAAUGGAAUGUAGGAGAGAGAACUUAUCGAUAGAGUUCUUGGACCCUACUCUCAAGAAAUACGCAGACUUGAAGAUGGAGUUGAGCAGAACUGAGAGGCAUAUAUUGAAAGAGAUGGGUUUCAUUUGUCACGUUGAACAUCCGCAUAAAUUCAUAUCUAACUACCUUGCAACCCUUGGAACACCUCCAGAACUGAGGCAAGAAGCUUGGAAUCUAGCCAACGACAGUUUGCGUACAACCUUGUGCGUUCGAUUCAAGAGCGAGGUUGUGGCUUGUGGGGUUGUAUAUGCUGCUGCUCGUAGAUUUCAAGUACCUCUUCCUGAAAAUCCACCUUGGUGGAAGGCAUUUGAUGCAGACAAGUCGGGAAUUGAUGAAGUCUGUCGAGUUUUGGCACACUUGUAUACCCUUCCUAAGGCACAAUAUAUUCCAGUCUGCAAGGAUGGAGACUCAUUUACAUUUUCUAACAAGUCAUGGGAUUCACAAUCUCUUCCCGUGACCAAGGAAGUUCCACAAAGCAGCCCAACAGCCAACGAUGACGCUGUAAAAGCCACCUCAGGAAAUAAUCACGAAUCAGGUGGGUCCAAAGAUGAGUUGCUUAAAUUAGCCUUAAACAAGCUCAAGGAAUCUAAGAAGAGUGAUGACGAAUCCAAGAGCAUUCUGCUUGAAGCGACUACUAGGGAGGAAGUUUUGCCAAAAUCAAAAUCCGAUCGCAGGGCUGAGACUGGUGAAAGGAACAAGGAGAGAGAAAGGGACAGGGAUAGGGAAAGAGCGAGGGAGAGAGACAGAACCAAGUCUCGAGAUCGGGAUAGAGGUCGAGAUUCUGACAGGGAACGUGAGAGGGAGGAUGCAGACAGAGACAAAGUCAAGGAUCGAGCUCAUCGCUCAAAUGAUAGGAGCAAGGAAUUAGGAGGACACUUGGAAAAAUCGAGACGUCACUCAUCGCGAGAUCGGGAUUACCAUGGCUCAUCUUAUUCUUCACGUGAUAAAGAUCGCCAUAGGCAUCAUUGACGACAUGGAAUCAGAUCGAUCUUCUAUGGUGGGCGGCAUUGACAUGUUUAGAGUAGCCACUCUAUUCUUACUUCCUAACUCGCUGAUGCUUUCUAAAAUAUUUCGCCUCUUCGAAUGGUGGCGGGCUGGAGUCUAUGAAGAAGCAAGCUUUUCCUCAUUGAAAUUGAGUAGCUGUGCCAGAAUGUUAACAAUGUGUUGGACCUCUGGGCCAAACAGCGCUCUUCAUCUUCAAGCCGUUUGUCAAUUGCUCAUAAGUUGUUGAGCAUUUCAAGUACUUUGACCUUUAAUUCUUGAAAUGGUAACUAGGAGCUGGUCGAGGAUGAAAGCAAACUUUAGAAUGAGAGCCCUAGAUCAACCACGUAGCCUCCAUAUUUUUCUACGAGUCAUGGUUUGUGCUUCAGAGGAUUCAGGAAUCAAGUCGUGUCACUCAUGCCACAAAGUACCCAUGCCUAAGGUACCCGACCAUACCUUAAGGACACGAUUAAGAGCCUACAAGUAGGCUAUUUAUCGAGUCUUUCUACUCGCUCCAUAUUUUUCAUGUUUUUUAGGUAACUAGGAAUUAGUGGAGGUAAAGGAGCGGACUCUCGAGCAGAUGCCAUGACAAGCCUUACCUAUCAUUCCAGCCCUGUUUUGUUUUAAAUAUUUUGUGUAUGUUUCUUAUUUUGUAUUUGAACUAGUUAUGAAAAUGUCUUUUUA